AGCAAGGAAACACAAAACCAGGGUGACAUUAAACAAGGACUCCGUGACACAGACAGAAACAAACCAGGUAUAUAUAGACAGGUGAUUACAAUACUAACGGGGAAUUGGCUGAGUGCAAUGAUUAAUGACCAGGGACAGCUGAGUGCAAUGAGCAGUGAUGAAACAGACAAGACUAUGGGAAAUGCAGUUCUGAAGUGGGGUGACGAUAAUGGGAAGUGAGACCUCUAGUGGACACCCAGGGAUACACAGACCAGACACUGUGACAUUACCCCCCCUCUAAGGAGCAGCUUCCAGAUGCUCCCCAGAACAAAACACCAAAAACAAAACAACGAGACCAGGAGGGAGGUGGACUGGUGGAGGCAGAACAGGGGGAGGGAUGGCGGGCCAGGCCCGUGUAGGGGAACUGGGACCGGCAGCGAUGGCUCCCCUGGCAGCCCAGGUGGCUCGGUCAGAUCAGGGGGCCAUGGUGGACCCGAAAGUUCAGGGGACCACGAGGGACCAGGCAGUUCAGGUGGCCACGGUGGAUCAGUCCAUUCUCGUUGUGCAGACGGCCAGGGAGGAAUUCGCCAUUUGAGUGGCCCGAACGGAACCUGCCAUUCGGGGAGCCAGUGAGGAGCAGACUGUGGCGAUGGCCAGGUCACGGCAUUGGACACCGCCUCGGGAACGGCCUUGGACAAGGGCACCGCCUCGGGAACGGCCUUGGACACGGGUAUCGCCUCGGGAACGACCUCGGGCUCGAGCACCGCCUCGGGAGCGGCCUCAGGAACGGCAUGGGACAAGGACACCGCCUCGGGAACGGCCCUGGACACGGGCAUCGCCUCGGCCUGCGCAUCGGGCACCGCCUCGGCCUCCGGAACGGCAUCGGGCACUGCAACGGCAUCGGGCACCGCCUCGGCAUCGGGAACCACAUCGGGCACCGCCUCGACCUGCGGAACAGCAUCGGUCACUGCCUCGGCAUCGGGAACAACAUCUGGCACCGCUUCGGCAUCAGGCACCGCCUCGGGAACCUUGGGCACGUCCACCUGGACGACAGCGGCCUGCUCGGGAUCGUCCUCCUGGACGGUAGCGGCCUGCUCGGGAACGUCCUCCUGGACGGCAGCGGCCUGCUCGGGAACGUCCUCCGGGCUUUGAGGAACGGCUGACGCCUGUCUCCUCCUCCUGCGACCUCUAUGAUGGCGUGCCGGUGGCUCCUUGACGGAAGACUCAGGCGUUGAGUCAGCC
ensembl:lncRNA